GAUGAAGAACGCAGCGAAAUGCGAUAAGUAAUGUGAAUUGCAGAAUUCAGUGAAUCAUCGAAUCUUUGAACGCACAUUGCGCCCCUUGGUAUUCCGAGGGGCAUGCCUGUUCGAGCGUCAUUAUAACCCCUCAAGCUCAGCUUGGUGUUGGGGCCUGCUGCACUGGCAGCCCUUAAAAUCAGUGGCGGCGCCAUCUGGCUCUAAGCGUAGUAAUUCUUCUCGCUAUGGAGUCCUGGUGGAUGCUUGCCAUCAACCCCCAAUUUUUCUAUGGUUGACCUCGGAUCAGGUAGGGAUACCCGCUGAACUGAAGCAUAUCAAUAAGCGGAGGA
rnacentral:misc_RNA from 1 species